rnacentral:lncRNA from 1 species
CCCGGAAGGAGGUCCCACCAUUUACUUGACUCUUAGAACCUUUGUUGGUUUUGGGCAACGGGUAUAAUUGCUGUUUUUUUCCCUUUCGACUUUAGAAUUAGAAACUAAAUGCUAUUCGUUUCUUCCCAAAAUUGCUCAAAGAUCAUUUUUUUUGGGCAAGAAAAGGUGGGCUUACCGUAUGGCAAUUGCUGGGAUUGUUCGGACCGGUUCUUAUGCCGACGUGUUGGAUACCACCCUUAGGUGCAAGGCAUCUAAGAGGCGGGACAUAGCCGAGAGGGAGAGCAAGAGGUCAAGACUACAGGAGGACAGAGGGGAUUCACUAUCGCUUUCCGCUUGGAGCGGCUCACCCCCUUGUCACUUAAAGGGCGGCCAAGGAAGCAUCGGUUUUUAAUCUCAUUAUGACUUGGUAGUUCGGAAGAGCAAUUAAUUCGAUCAGAAUAGUGGAAUGGAAGGCAGUAAAAGAAUUAAAUACUCCUUUCUUUUCCAAUCGCCACGCGAAGACAGACGUUCGGAAAGGUUCUCGAGAUUCUCAAUCGCUCUUUUUAGUGGGGAGGAAUACUGCGGGAAGGGAGCGAGACCAAGCCGAGCCACUAGUAGAGUAUGCCUGCUAAGGGAUUAGUCCAAGUUAGACCGAGAAGUAAGAGUUUGUAAUUGAAGUCGGCGAAGACUGGAUGUCAGAAGAUUCGAAUAAGGAAUAAUAAGUCACCACGCUUAGGGAAAGGAGUUCUUCCGGCCCGGUUAGGCCAGCCAGGAGCUAAGCCCCAAGGGAAAGGUCAGCUGAACGAAGCCAGCUAAGGAAUAAGAGCUGGGGAAGAGCAGGAGAGCAAAAUUGACCGUCUUCAAGGGAAAAAAGUAACGUAAGGAGUUUCAGCUUUUAGCAGAGGUCAGUCUGGCGUUUCCUCGCGUAAAGGACUACUUUUGCAUCAAAGAUGAAAAUAGUUCUAAUCUUCCCCACUCCACCUAAUUUGGCAAAGAACUCACGGUGAUCUCUGGGAAAACCACACGACUGCUCCUGAAAAAUAGAUGAACGUGACUUUUUUAUAGUCGAAAUAAAGUUAAUUUUUUCUUGAUUUAUUUCAUUAUUGGAAAUGUUA